CAUUUGCUAUCACUGCACCACUGUGGAGGAAAGACAGGCAUUUUGUCAUUUUGGGUCAGCUGAAGUCAGAUAGAGGCAUUUCAAUUUGCAUUUGAUCUCAUCUCUGGCUGAAGCCAUGGGACUUAUUAUACGUGUGGUGCUCCUAUGGCUGCUAUUGAUUGGAGAGCUUCAAGCCAGUACAAAAUCUUCCAGUCAUGGAGUUGAGCCUGGCAUUUGGGACAUGAGCUACCAGCCCAGGCCUCAGCCCCAGGUUCCCAGCUACCAGCCCAGGCCUCAGCCCCAGGUUCCCAGCUACCAGCCCAGGCCUCAGCCCCAGGUUCCCAGCUACCAG